rnacentral:rRNA from 1 species
GCGUGCGUAGGCGGUCUGUUAAGUCUGUCGUGAAAGCCCUGGGCUCAACCUGGGAAUUGCAUUGGGAACUGGCUGACUGGAGUGCGGUAGAGGGUAGUGGAAUUCCCGGUGUAGCAGUGAAAUGCGUAGAUAUCGGGAGGAACAUCCGUGGCGAAGGCGACUACCUGGGCCAGCACUGACACUGAGGCACGAAAGCGUGGGGAGCAAAC